UACGUAGGGGGCUAGCGUUAUCCGGAAUUACUUGGGCGUAAAGGGUGCGUAGGUGGUUUCUUAAGUCAGAGGUGAAAGGCUACGGCUCAACCGUAGUAAGCCUUUGAAACUGAGAAACUUGAGUGCAGGAGAGGAGAGUAGAAUUCCUAGUGUAGCGGUGAAAUGCGUAGAUAUUAGGAGGAAUACCAGUUGCGAAGGCGGCUCUCUGGACUGUAACUGACACUGAGGCACGAAAGCGUGGGGAGCAAACAGGAUUAGAUACCCCCGUAGUCCCUGAG
rnacentral:rRNA from 1 species